UUUUCAUUUGGAGGAAAUUGAUGAAGUUACAUGUGCUGUAGACUUUCGUUUUAAGAAACACGAAAUUCCUUUGCUGGCUGAAGCGUUAGAUUUUCCUCAUCGUUUCAAAUGUAAACAAGGAACAGUUUGUGAUGGGCUGGAAGCUCUCUGCCUUGUCCUUCGUCGGUUUGCUUAUCCAUGUAGAUACAGUGAUCUUGUACCGCAGUUUGGCAGGUCUGUUCCAGAACUCAGCAUGAUCAUGAAUACCGCUGUUGACUACAUUUUUGAGAGAAGGAAGAAGGCAUGAUUCUGCCAUGCUGGCUGAGUCAGGACUUCUGAAUGACCUUGAAGAGUUUGCUCAUUGGAAUGGAAAACCCAUGUGUCUAUAUGGAGAUCCUGCAUAUCCUCUGCGCAUUCAUUUGCAAGCACCAUACCGAAACCUACCACUAACCAUGCCAAUGGAAGAAUUCAAUAAGUCAAUGAGUGCUGUGAGAAUAUCAGUGGAGUAGAUUUUUGGUGACAUUAUAAACUACUUUAAAUUCCUUGAUUUUAAGAAGAAUCUAAAAAUUAGCUUAAGUUCUGUGGGCAAAAUGUAUAUAGUUGCAUCACUGCUUAGAAAUGCUCUAACUUGUCUUCAAUCAAAUAUGACAAGUGAUUUUUUUCAGUUGGAGCCACCCUCUCUUCAAACGUAUUUCUCAUAAUUUUUUUGUGAAUAUUUCUUGUUUCUCAUAAAUUGUAAUUACAAAUUAUUA